CACAAGAAAAUACUGUUGAACAUGUCCAUGACGAAAAUGGCCAAAAUCAUUAUACGGUACUUGUUACUGAAUCGGGCGCUGUUAUCUCACAACAUACAGGAUACAAUGUAGGACCUACCCAGAGUCAGAAGAAACGCCGAAGAUUCAUCCCUUUCAAA